rnacentral:rRNA from 1 species
CCUACGGGAGGCAGCAGUGGGGAAUAUUGCACAAUGGGGGAAACCCUGAUGCAGCGACGCCGCGUGAGUGAAGAAGGAUUGCGGUACGUAAAGCUCUAUCAGCAGGGAAGAAAAUGACGGUACCUGACUAAGAAGCCCCGGCUAACUACGUGCCAGCAGCCGCGGUAAUACGUAGGGGGCAAGCGUUAUCCGGAUUUACUGGGUGUAAAGGGAGCGUAGACGGCAGCGCAAGUCUGGCGUGAAAUCCCAUGGCUUAACCCUGGAACUGCUUUGGAAACUGUGCAGCUAGAGUGCAGGAGAGGUAAGCGGAAUUCCUAGUGUAGCGGUGUCAUGCGUAGAUAUUAGGAGGAACACCAGUGGCGAAGGCGGCUUACUGGACUGUACCUGCCGUUGAGGCUCGAAAGCGUGGGGAGCAAACAGGAUUAGAUACCCGAGUAGUC